CACCAGAAAGUGCAGAAACUGUUCUGUGAGGAUGACCAGAGCCCAAUAUGUAUGUCCUGUUCUGAGUCUAACAAGCAUAAGGCUCAUACACUCCAUUGUAUAGAUGAGGCUGCUGAGGACUUCAGGGAGAACCUCCAGGAAACUGUAACCAAUUUGUGGAGAAAAACUAAGGAUGUUGAGCAACAGAUAGCUAAUGAGAAGGUGAAAUUGGCACUACUGGAGGAGGAGGUAAAGACUCAAAAGGAGGCUAUUUAUUCUGAAUUCCAGAAAAUACAAUGUUUUCUGGAUGAGGAGAAAAAUGAAUAUCUAUCAAUUGUGGAGAGGCAGGGAAAGGCCAAUGUGAAAGGUCUAAAGAAGAGAAUAAGGAAAUUAUCUCUUCAAAAUCAAGAACUAAGGAAGAGGAUCAGAGAGUCAGAGGAGGUGUGCAG
rnacentral:lncRNA from 1 species